GCCUGGGUGGCUCAGUCGGUUGAGCAUCCGACUUCGGCUCAGGUCAUGAUCUCACAGUCUGUGGGUUCGAGCCCCACGUCAGGCU
rnacentral:tRNA from 1 species